UACGUAGGGUGCAAGCGUUAAUCGGAAUUACUGGGCGUAAAGCGUGCGCAGGCGGUUUUGUAAGUCUGUCGUGAAAUCCCCGGGCUCAACCUGGGAAUUGCGAUGGAGACUGCAAGGCUAGAAUCUGGCAGAGGGGGGUAGAAUUCCACGUGUAGCAGUGAAAUGCGUAGAGAUGUGGAGGAACACCGAUGGCGAAGGCAGCCCCCUGGGUCAAGAUUGACGCUCAUGCACGAAAGCGUGGGGAGCAAACAGGAUUAGAGUA
rnacentral:rRNA from 1 species